AAUUUUGGUAUUGAGGUGUCGGCAUAUCAAAAGUGAGUUAUAGUGUACAAUGAGGAGAGAAAUAUGAACAUUAGAAUGACGCAGCAGCAGUUCGUGGAUAUCUAUGUUUGUAAUAAUGCGUUUUGAUUAAAUAUUUAACUGAAUUUGUAAUGAAAUCUGCGAGGACUGUUUUUGUUGAAAUAUAAUCAUUACUUCUCUGCAGGUUGACAUGCUGUCUGCUCACAGAUGGAAGUUGUCAUUCUCUCGCCUCAGCUCUGAAGUCCAACACCUCCCAUCUGAGAGAGUUGGAGCUGAGCUACAACAAGCUGCAGGAUUCGGGAGUGAAGCUGCUGUGUGCUGGUUUGGAGAGUCCACACUGCAAACUGGAGACUCUGAGGUUGAAGGACUGUCACAUCACAGAGAUCAGCUGUGUUUCUCUGGCCUCAGCUCUGAAGUCCAACCCCUCCCAUCUGACGGAGCUGGACCUGAGCCUCAACAAGCUGCAGGAUUCAGGAGUGAAGCUGCUGUGUGAUCUUGUGGACAGUCCACACUGUAGACUGAAGACUCUGAGGUUUAAAUGAAUGUGGACCGACAGAGACAGAGACAGAGACAGAGUCAUCAUCAGCCUGGACACAUAUUCAUCAAAGAUCUCACUUCUCUUAGCUUUCAUUCCUUCCCUCCAUCUCUUCCUUGUCCUUUUCUGUUCUGGCACACGUAUAUAUUUUUAUAUUUUACUUCUUUUUAUCUGAUAUAAGUUUAUACCACACAUUUGUCAUCUGAGCCUCUGCUAACUCUCAGAUGCGUCUAGUAACCGUCUGGAAGAACAAACAUCCUGAGGGCCGCCAACUGUCAGGCUGACACCGUCCUGGAGCAACACCAAAACAACCUCCUCGCACUGACGCCAUACCGUCAGUGCAGGCUCUGCGUAGAGGCAUACCCCACGCCGCAUUCUGACGUACACGUCAUCAGACAUGUUACGCCCCAGACUUCUGUUUAUUUUAAUAAACUGAAGACCCCUCCCUCACCAUGGAAACAAUACUUUUAUUCACUUUUAUUUCACAGAUAUCGAACGACAAAAUAAGGAAGUCCUAUGUGUGAUUUAUCCUGGCUUCAUAUGAGCAGAGGAAAUCUCUGCUAGCUGCUAGGCUAAUUUAUACAAUGUAAAAUGCCAUAGACUUGUGCUAAUAACGUUAGCAUGUUGUAUUUGUGGGGAAAAUGUGUCCAAAUAAAGACAAGUGUUUGUCUGUGAAUGCUGCGAGUUAUAGUGAAGCUGAUUUGUGUACUUGUGUUUGAAACUGUCUCUAUUAAGCCAUGUUUAAUGUGAGUUUAAUGUGUGUAUAAUGUGUGUUAGAAUAUCAUCUUUUAAUUGUGGAGAUACAGCUCACAGCAGCAGGCAGCUCUGCAGAAGCACAAGUGUUGAAACACUGCUCAUGUGCUAGCUGCAGCAGAUUACUGAGGUAGUCGCUAGGCGGUGCUCACGCAGACAGUGUGGCCCGGCCGUCAGAGGACGCAGCAGUUUGACUGGAGGCAAAACACGAGUGAGGAAGGACGAUUCUGGUGUUGAUUCACUGAAUGUUAACUUCAGGAUCUUCACACCUGCUCUGAGAUUAUUUUAGCUCUCACGACCACAGCAGUUAGUUUAUCAUUUAUUAUCAUUACCACAGCAGCGUAACAGUGUGAUGUCACUGGUGAUGUCACUCUCACAACAAUGGAUUUUGGACUUCUGGUGCAUCAGUGAUUUUAUAACUCGUGAUUGUACCUGUUGGCAUCGUGGGAGGGUUUCAUUCUGUCAAACAUUAAACUGGCUAAAAACGA